GACAGAGGCCCCAAGCGUUAGGCGGAAUCACUGGGCUUAAAGCGUGUGUAGGCGGACGCCUAAGUGUCUUGUGAAAUCCCACGGCUCACCCGUGGAACUGCUGGGCAUACUGGGCGUCUUGGGCCAACUAGGGGCAGCCGGAACAAGCGGUGGAGCGGUGAAAUGCGUAGAUAUCGCUUGGAACGCCGAAGGUGAAAACAGGCUGCUGGGGUUGUGCCGACGCUAGAGACGAAAGCCAGGGGAGCAAACGGG
rnacentral:rRNA from 1 species